rnacentral:rRNA from 1 species
UACGAAGGGGGCUAGCGUUGCUCGGAAUCACUGGGCGUAAAGCGCACGUAGGCGGAUCUUUAAGUCAGGGUGAAAUCCCAAGGCUCAACCUUGGAACUGCCUUUGAUACUGGGAUCUCGAGUCCGGAAGAGGUUGGUGGAACGUGCGAGUGUAGAGGUGAAAUUCGUAGAUAUUCGCAAGAACACCAGUGGCGAAGGCGGCCAACUGGUCCGGUACUGACGCUGAGGUGCGAAAGCGUGGGGAGCAACAGG